rfam:Ornithorhynchus anatinus chromosome 4, whole genome shotgun sequence.
CCCCUCUCAGGGUAGCACCUGGAGAGUUUCCAGUACUCUACCAGUCUCAACUAUGGAAGGGAAAGUCAGGCAGAGGCAUAUCCAUUCAAUUUUUAGCUCGGGCAGAGGCUAGCUAGUGGAAGGCAAUCUGCUACAUGU